UACGUAGGCAGCAAGCGUUGUUCGGAGUUACUGGGCGUAAAGGGUGUGUAGGCGGUUCUCUAAGUUUGGUGUGAAAUCUCCCGGCUCAACUGGGAGGGUGCGCCGAAAACUGGAGAGCUAGAGUACUGGAUGGGAGAGUGGAAUUCCUGGUGUAGCGGCGAAAUGCGUAGAUAUCAGGAGGAACACCGGUGGUGUAGACGGCUCUCUGGACAGUAACUGACGCUGAGACACGAAAGCGUGGGUAGCAAACAGG
rnacentral:rRNA from 1 species